rnacentral:rRNA from 1 species
UACGUAGGGUGCGAGCGUUGUCCGGAAUUAUUGGGCGUAAAGAGCUCGUAGGCGGUGUGUCACGUCGGCCGUGAAAACCUGGGGCUUAACUCUGGGUGUGCGGUCGAUACGGGCAUCACUAGAGUUCGGCAGGGGAGACUGGAAUUCCUGGUGUAGCGGUGAAAUGCGCAGAUAUCAGGAGGAACACCGGUGGCGAAGGCGGGUCUCUGGGCCGAUACUGACGCUGAGGAGCGAAAGCAUGGGUAGCGAACAGG